UACGGAGGAUCCAAGCGUUAUCCGGAAUUACUGGGUUUAAAGGGUCCGUAGGUGGGCCGUUAAGUCAGAGGUGAAAUCCUGCAGCUCAACUGUAGAACUGCCUUUGAUACUGGCGGCCUUGAAUUACUGUGAAGUGGUUAGAAUAUGUGGUGUAGCGGUGAAAUGCAUAGAGAUCACAUAGAAUACCGAUUGCGAAGGCAGAUCACUAACAGUACAUUGACACUGAUGGACGAAAGCGUGGGGAGCAAACAGG
rnacentral:rRNA from 1 species